GGGGGGCGGGAGGAGGAGGAGGAGGCGGCGGCGACGAAUCCUGGUCCGGCUGGCCGGGUGUGCGAGCACUAGUGGGAGCUGGAGAGGGCGAGAGAGGAGGGGAGAGAGCCCCAAGGCACCCCGAUCCCGAGCGGAGCGGCUGCGAACCGGGCGGGAACGGGGAGUGCGCGGGAGGCAGGAGGGGCAGAGGAGGCGGCAGCAGCCCCGGCAGAGGAGGAGGCAGAGGAGGCAGCCCCGCGGAGCCUUCGCAGGCGGUGAGGACGGGUGGAGUUAAUUUCUUUUGUUCCUGAGAGCUGAAUAGGAGAAAGGGACAUUUCAGCUUUUCUUGAUAAAGCUCUAAGGCACCACCAGUACCUGUGGAAAAGGGCUUUAAUCCUACACUGCAUCCUCAGCGUGGGUUUGGAGUGAUUUCGCGCAAGGUCGUUUACCUCCUCUGUGCUGCUGUGGGUCGGACAGCUUGUCAUUGAGCAAAACAUCAAGUAGCAGGUUUGAUUUCUUUGAUUUCUUGGAGGCUUGCAUUUUUAUUUUGAGAAAAGUAGAAUUGUUUG
rnacentral:lncRNA from 1 species